AUUGAACGCUGGCGGCAGGCCUAACACAUGCAAGUCGAACGCGUGGGGGACGGGUGAGUAAUGUCUGUGAAACAGCCCGAUGGAGGGGGAUAACUCAUGGAAACGGUGGCUAAUACAGCAUACCAUCGUAUGUGUCCAGGUUGGAUUAGCUUGUCGGUGAGGUAACGGCUCACCUAGGCGACGCGCCCUAGCUGGUCUGAGAGGAUGACCAGCCACACUGGAACUGAGACACGGACCAGACUCCUACGGGAGGCAGCAGUGGGGAAUAUUGCACAAUGGGCGAAAGCCUGAUGCAGCAACGCCGCGUGUAUGAAGAAGGCCUUCGGGUUGUAAAGUACUUUCAGCGGGGAGGCGUUACCCACAGAAGAAGCACCGGCUAACUCCGUGCCAGCCGCCGCGGUAAUUC
rnacentral:rRNA from 1 species